rnacentral:rRNA from 1 species
ACUCCUACGGGAGGCAGCAGUGGGGAAUAUUGCACAAUGGGGGAAACCCUGAUGCAGCCAUGCCGCGUGUGUGAAGAAGGCCUUCGGGUUGUAAAGCACUUUCAGCGAGGAGGAAAGGGUGUGUGCUAAUACCAUACAUCUGUGACGUUACUCGCAGAAGAAGCACCGGCUAACUCCGUGCCAGCAGCCGCGGUAAUACGGAGGGUGCGAGCGUUAAUCGGAAUUACUGGGCGUAAAGCGUGCGCAGGCGGUUUGUUAAGCGAGAUGUGAAAGCCCCGGCUCAAGCCUGGG